rnacentral:rRNA from 1 species
CACGUAGGGCGCAAGCGUUGUCCGGAAUUAUUGGGCGUAAAGAGCUCGUAGGCGGUCUGUUGCGUCCGCUGUGAAAACUCGGGGCUUAACCCCGAGCCUGCAGUGGAUACGGGCAGACUAGAGGUAGGUAGGGGAGAAUGGAAUUCCCGGUGUAGCGGUGAAAUGCGCAGAUAUCGGGAGGAACACCGGUGGCGAGAGCGGUUCUCUGGGCCUUACCUGACACUGAGGAGCGAAAGCGUGGGGAGCGAACAGG